rnacentral:tRNA from 1 species
GGCUAGAUAGUUUAAGUUAAAACAUUGAACUGUUAAUUCAAAAUUGUAGUAAAUUGCUUUAGCUU